AUCCAACUGACGAGUCCCAAACAGGACGAAACACACGGGUCUUGGAU
rnacentral:hammerhead_ribozyme from 1 species